AGCUUUUUGAAUCCGUGCUGAGAUUUUAUCAGACAUCAACACAUUAGUGCUGAUCAGACUUCCAAGAUAAGUGAAGUU
rnacentral:pre_miRNA from 1 species